GUGUCAGCAGCCGCGGUAAUACAGAGACUGCAAGCGUUAUUCGGAUUCACUGGGCGUAAAGGGUGCGCAGGCGGCCAAGUGUGUGAGGCGUGAAAGCCCGGGGCUUAACCCCGGAAUUGCACCUCAAACUACAUGGCUAGAGCAUUGGAGAGGGUAGCAGAAUUCACGGUGUAGCAGUGAAAUGCGUAGAUAUCGUGAGGAAUACCAGAGGCGAAGGCGGCUACCUGGACAAUUGCUGACGCUCAGGCACGAAAGCGUGGGGAGCAAAAGGGAUUAGAUACCCCUGUAGUCCACGCCCUAAACGGUGCACACUAGGUCUUGGCGGAUUCGACCCCGCCAGGGCCCAAGCUAACGCGUUAAGUGUGCCGCCUGAGGACUACGGCCGCAAGGCUAAA
rnacentral:rRNA from 1 species